CUGAUUCACAACUUGCCCAGCUCGACAGUACUCCAUGAGAAUGAGGACCUCCCAGACGUUAUCACUUAUACAGUUAACAGCACAAUCCAAAUAGCUCACGAUAUUCUUGUGCCCAGAUAAUUCUUUCAUAAUAGUAAUUUCUCUCUUGCACACGUUGAGAUCUGAGACAUUAUUAACAUACAUUCGUUUGAGUGCACAACGUAUCCCACCAUGGGUACGUACCAGAAACACAGUUGAGAAACCACCCUCUGCCAGCAGCUCCUCGGCGGUGACCUGGUGCCGCCCGACGGCGAACACCCGGCCCAGGGCGGCCGCACCGCCCGCUCCUCCGGCUCCGCCGCCCGCUCCGCCGCCGCCGCCGCUCCCCUCGGCCUUGGGCAUGCGGGAGAACUUCUUCAUGGCGAGCGGGGCCCCGAGGCGGCCGGAGAUGGGGAGCUGCCCGCUUCACAUGCCGCCGCUCCUCGGCCGCUCCCCGCUGCCUCUGCCC
rnacentral:lncRNA from 1 species